CCUAAGCUGAACCCUGCAGGACAACGCAUCUGCCGUGGCAACAAUCCACAAGGAAGGGGAAGCAGCUCCCCCAAGUACGCAGGCUUGGUUGAGCGUCUCUUCGCGGCCGGAAUGAGGUUGUUGCAGCCUGAGUGAAGCACAAUGUCUAUCAGCGUCAGACAAGAAUGACGACAUCUUAUUAGUUGCCAUGAUUACUGGUGAAGUAUUAAUUUAGGAUUAACUCGGGAGAACUUGAAUUAACUUAGAGCAGCCUGUGGGGACAGCGUGUAAAACAGUCACAGGAAGAAAGGAAAAGACUGGAUUCAUUAGCUGACUGCAGGGAAAUGUAUUAAGAAGCAAGACUGUAGCCAUAAAUUGGAAAGCACACACUUAUGGAUGGAGAUGAAAUGUUUAUGGUAAAUCUGACUUUAAGCUAUUAAGCUUAAUGAACUCUCCAAAUCUUCAAUGAGAUCAUCUAAAGAAAGGAUUUUGAAGGUUGGGAUUAAAGAAAGCCCUGUUAUAAAGAUGACUCAGUGCUGUGUUUUCAACAGACCGAAAUCUGGAAUGACCCUAGCACAAUACACUGAAGCAAUUAAGAAGGGGGAACUAGCAGAAAACCAGCUGUGUGUUUGACUAGCCAGCCACAGAGGUAAGGUUUUGUUGCAAAGAGGCCAUACUGUACACAGCUGCUGUAUGUAUUACUUGUUACUGUUGAGUCUUUUAAUUAAAAUGACUACUGAGUCAUUUGGGACUCACAGAUGCAAAGAAAGCCUCGGUAUUCACUGCUUCUAUCACAAGUUGUGAAGGCAUUGCUGUCAUCUACUCAUACUGCACAGGUCAUUUUGCACAGAAGAGACAGGCAAGAUGAAGAGGGGUGUCUGUGAGAGAGAGGAAUGCAAAGAGAAACACUCAUCACUUCUGAGGUAUUGCCCAGGAAUGUGCUACAUGAUUGCAUCUGCAUAAGUCACUCUUCAAGAAACCCUGCAGUCUCAAAUGACCAAGGAAUGGCAGAGAACCCAGUAUCCAUUUCUGCUUUUUCAUACUCUCCUUUCUAAAAGUAAUAAACUAGGCAUACCUGGGUGGUACUGAAGAACUGAAGGAACCCUACAAAAUGGAACCUUUCUAAGGCCUGUCACAAAGGAGCGUUGAUUGGUGUUUUGUUAUUUGCAUGUUGAUUCCUAAUUUGUACCAUGCAGCUGGACUCUGUAGAUGGAGGUACUGCUGCCCUUAUUGCAUGCCAGAGCUCUCUUACAUCAAUUAACUUAUAAACCAGUGUUCCUUCCCUAUCUUUUUUAAUUCUUUUUGUUUAGCCUGAAGGGUGAAAACCUCUCAUCUAUCAAGAGCUUAUGAAAUCGUACUGGGGAAUACUAUAAAACUGCAUUUUAGUAGAUUUGUUUCAUGAGAAUCAAUACUUUUGUACUCCUAUGAAUAUCUGAAAGUUUUUAGUUUUUAAGCAGAUGCAAAAGGUCCAUUAGUUGAUUUUUUACAUGCUAGAUAAGGGCAGAAUGAUUUCUCUGAUCUUCCUUAUUUAACCUGGAAAGGUUAGGAACAUUCUUUGGCCUUUGAUGGUUCUGCUAUGGAAGAGCCCCAUAUAUUUAAUUUAAAAUGCUGAAUCUUUAGCACAGACUUACUUUCUCCAAAGUAUUGACUAACUACUACAGUGAAUCAAUAAAAAGCAAUAAAAAUCUGGCUUGAAAUCUUUUUCUUCCUCAGUUGUCCAACAUUUUGAGACUUGCAGUGCCAUUUGCCCUUCCUUGAGUUUCUGAAUCCAUCAGGCUUCCCAAAAUUCCCUCCAGUUGCUGUUCCCCCUGUUGAGGAAUUCUGUAUCUGUAACUCUGUGGUUUAGCAAUGGUGGUAGCUGGAGGAUGAACUGGAGUCUCUGAAAUGGAACUUACCAUGCCAUCUAGUUGUGAUCCAAGAGAAGUUAAAGAAUAUGAUGCAGAACAGUGUCUUCCAGGAAACAUCUGUCUUCUGUUCAUACCAAGAGAAAUUACCUUCCCCUUCUGUCUAAGCUGUCUUUCUCCUGAAGCUUUGCAUUUCAGGAAAAACAAGCAACACAAGUAGGAAAACCAAAUAACAAAUCACAACAAAUAACAAAUAAAUCCCAAACUGAUGGUUCUGGAUGUCAGUACAUUGUGUGAUUUGAGACAUUAAUUCUGCUGCCUGCUGUAAGGCACUACCCAUCAGCAAAAGGGAAAAACAGAUAACUAGAGAUAGUAAUACCCUAUUGGAUUGCUUCACUUGAGUUAAACAAGCUUGUCUGGGAAUACUCAGAGAGCAGAGAAGAUGAUCCACAUUCACUUUAGGUAGUGCUGGUAGAGUGGGUGAGGUAGUAACAAGAAAAGGUGAUUCUACUUGAUUGUUUCUAUUUGGGAAAGCUUAUUCUGUCUUUUCGGUAAGUCUGAGUCUGCCAAGUCAGUUUGUUGAUCCCCUGUGUUGGCUGCAUGGGUUUUCUUCAGCGAAAGCAGGAAACAGAAAUGUAGUUCAGUGUCACACAAGUUGGAAGAGGAGUUGCCCUGAGGCAGCGGCUCUCAAGGGGCUGGGCACCUUCUCAGGGCACUUCCAGACCAUUUUGUCUAUUAACUUCUAUUAACUAGUUUUAUAGUUGCAUAUGUUUCCUUAAAUGCAUUCU